GCGUAGCGGAAGUGACGCCAGGCGUAGCGGAAGUCCCUCCAGCCGCGGUGUUGUGCUGUGGGGAAGGGAGACGGAUUUGUAAACCCGGAGCGAGGUUCUGCAUACCCGAGGCCGCUGCUGUGCGGAGACCCCGGGGGAAACCACCGUCACCAUGUCUGACCAGGUGCCGAGCCCAGCUUCCACUUUCCCGAGAGGGUCCGUGGGGAACCCGUGUGCCUGCCUCUUCAGAAGACUCAUUGCAGAAGCAGGGCCCUAGGCCCCAGUUAUGUAACGGGAGAGAAUACCUGCCCCGGAGCCUCCGUGGCCCUGAAAAGCGGGUGGACUCCACUUUUGGGUUCUUAGUCUUUAGAUAGUCUUGGAGUGGGGACGUGGGGGCGGGGGUGAGGGAGACAUUGUCUGGUGUUGCUGGGAACCUAGAAAGCUCUGCCUUCCGUUCGGAUUGCAGCUGGGGCCGGGCUGCCUCUGUUCUGCUCUGAGUCUUUUUCCGUGUGGGUGUGCAGAGCUGUCGCCUCUUUCUUGUACUUUCCCAUUUCUUACUCGGGAUUGGUUCAGUAGCUCUCCAGUUGUAAGAGAGAACUCAGAAUAAUCAAGAAACAAAGUAGAACAAAACUGCUAGAGCAACAGAAAGCGUUUCAUCUGGGCGUUAACAUGAAGAUGACUGAUACCUUUGAGGAAAAGGAUAGGAAAACUUCGUGUAUGUAGAGCAGUUGCAGAACAUUUGCAGAAAGCUUCCUGUUAUAGCAGAGUGCUCCAUCUGAAUGUUAAUAUCAAGAAUUUACUUGGGAUUUGCACUCAAUCAGGAGUGUUCGAUUUUACGUGGAGGCAAAACCUUCAACUGAGGACUUGGGGGAUAAGAAGGAAGGAGAAUAUAUUAAACUCAAAGUCAUCGGACAGGAUAGCAGUGAGAUUCACUUCAAAGUGAAAAUGACAACACAUCUCAAGAAACUCAAAGAAUCAUACUGUCAAAGACAGGGAGUUCCCAUGAAUUCACUCAGGUUUCUCUUUGAAGGUCAGAGAAUUGC